CCCUAUUAUGAUAUAAGGAAAAAAAUUCGUAUAUUAUGAGAAUUAAAAAGUUUGGCGGUUAUUAGUUAAUUAGAGGAGCUUGUUUUAAUUAAGAAUUUACUCUUUAUAUUUAAUUGAUGAUGAUGUUUAUUCAUCUCCGUUGUUAGAAAAAUUUUGGGAAAAAAUUGAUUUUUAACUUCAGGUCUAGAUGUAGCGUUUAUGAAAAAAAAUUAGCUACAUUUAUGAAAUAUUUGGAAUUUUAAGGUAAAAAGGAUGAAUAUAAAGGAAAUUGAAUUUAAUUGUAAUAAUAAAUAGAAAUUUAUUAUGAAUUGAUAUUUAAUAAUGUA
rnacentral:rRNA from 1 species